UACGGAGGGUGCGAGCGUUGUCCGGAAUCACUGGGCGUAAAGGGCGCGUAGGUGGCGGAGCAAGUCAACGGUGAAAGCUCGACGCUCAACGUCGAGUCGGCCGUCGAGACUGCUUUGCUCGAGCACUGUAGAGGCAGAUGGAAUUCCGGGUGUAGGCGGUGGAAUGCGUAGAGAUCCGGAAGAACACCGGUGGCGAAGGCGGUCUGCUGG
rnacentral:rRNA from 1 species